rnacentral:rRNA from 1 species
UUGCUGCUAUCGGGGUGGGACUAAGACAUGCGAGUCGAGCGUCUCUAGCUAUGUUGAGACGCGGCAGACGGCUCAGUAACACGUGGCUAACCUACCCUCAGGACGAGGAUAAACCCGGGAAACUGGGGCUAAUACUCGAUAGGUGAGAAUGUCUGGAAUGAUUUCUCAUUCAAAGGGCUUUAGAAACAUGCUUCUAAUAUCGCCUGGGGAUGGGGCCGCGUCCGAUCAGGUUGUUGGUGGGGUAACGGCUCACCAAGCCUAUAACCGGUACGGGCCGUGAGAGCGGUAGCCCGGAGAUGGGCACUGAGACAAGGGCCCAGGCCCUACGGGGCGCAGCAGUCGCGAAAACUCCGCAAUGCGCGAAAGUGUGACGGGGCUACCCCGAGUGCCAUCCGCUGAGGAUGGCUUUUCCCCGGUGUAACUAGCCGGGGGAAUAAGGAGAGGGCAAGUCUGGUGUCAGCCGCCGCGGUAAUACCAGCUCUCCGAGUGGUAGGGACGAUUAUUGGGCUUAAAGCGUCCGUAGCCGGCUUAGCAAGUCUCCUGUUAAAUUCAGCGACCUAAUCGUUGAGCCGCGGGAGAUACUACUAGGCUAGGAGGCGGGAGAGGUCGACGGUAUUCCCGGGGGAGGGGUGAAAUCCUAUAAUCCCGGGAGGACCACCAGUGGCGAAGGCUGUGGGCUAGAACGCGCUCGACGGUGAGGGACGAAAGCUGGGGGAGCGAACCGGAUUAGAUACCCGGGUAGUCCCAGCUGUAAACGAUGCGGGCUAGGUGUUGAGGUGGCUACGUGCCACUUCAGUGCCGCAGGGAAGCCAUUAAGCCCGCCGCCUGGGGAGUACGGCCGCAAGGCUGAAACUUAAAGGAAUUGACGGGGGAGCACCACAAGGCGUGAA